GAUGAACGCUGGCGGCGUGCUUAACACAUGCAAGUCGAACGGAAAGGCCCAAGCUUGCUUGGGUACUCGAGUGGCGAACGGGUGAGUAACACGUGGGUGAUCUGCCCUGCACUUCGGGAUAAGCCUGGGAAACUGGGUCUAAUACCGGAUAGGACCACUUCUUGGAUGUUGUGGUGGAAAGUUUUUUCGGUGUGGGAUGAGCUCGCGGCCUAUCAGCUUGUUGGUGGGGUAAUGGCCUACCAAGGCGUCGACGGGUAGCCGGCCUGAGAGGGUGUACGGCCACAUUGGGACUGAGAUACGGCCCAGACUCCGACGGGAGGAAGCAGUGGGGAAUAUUGCACAAUGGGCGCAAGCCUGAUGCAGCGACGCCGCGUGGGGGAUGACGGCCUUCGGGUUGGAAACUCCUUUCGCUAGGGACGAAGCGUUUUGUGACGGUACCUGGAGAAGAAGCACCGGCUAACUACGUG
rnacentral:rRNA from 1 species